rnacentral:lncRNA from 1 species
CGUUCGUUUCCAGGGACCCGGGCAAGGCCACGUCCGAGGAGGUGGCCCCCACGCUCAGCCUGGCCGCCCGAAGCGAAACCUCGCGGUUCCUCGUUCCCUUCCCUGCCGAGAGCGAGACGUGUACAGGCGCCGCGUAGAUCCGGGGGAGGCUCCCAAUUGGAACGAGCGUUUGGCUGCGCCACUGCCCCCUCCUUCCCCACCCCGCGGUCGGAAGAGCACCCCCGUUCCCUGGCCCCUCUUCCAGCCUCGAGUGCCGUGAAGGGCAGGCUCGCAGCCGCGGGCGGAGCUGGGGACGGGCCUCCACGGGUCCUGGGACGAGCGAAGAGUUUUCGUUUUCGUUUGGGAUUGUGUGAGCAUCCAGCGCAGUCUGUGCUGUGACGUUGGGGUGGGGCCUGUCUGCAGAGGUGAGGACGGAUUGGAAAGGCCCGCGGGCUGCACCUUUGCACCUUUGGAGUCUUCUCUCCCUCUGCCUGCUCAGCCUUUGUCCUCGCGGUUCUUGGAGGCCAGGCCCAAAUGCACACGACUUUCCCAGGCCUCACCUUACCAGCCUUCCUCUCAGGGGCUUCUACUCCACCCCCCCCCCCCCCCCCCACCUCCCAGUUUCUUUUUGCCUUAGGGAUCCCACAGGACCGGAAGGAAUGUCAGGGUGAGCCUCACCCCUUGCUCUUGGGAAAGCCGGAAUAAGAUUGGAACCCCGUUGCGGACUCCCAUUAGAACCCUGUUUCCAGACUCCCAGUCCAGCAGUUUACAUUAGAGCAGUGGGUGUUCCCAGGAGCCCUGGCUCAGGAGCUAUCCUCUAAAAGGGGGCUUCACUGCCAAAUGGGUUUCUCAAAGGUGCUAUCUCCUCUUGGAGAUUCACGAGGCUCGUUAGCAUAUCAAAGGUUCUGAGAAGUCCGGCUGUAAAAGAAGCCCAAGUAAUUUAGUUUACAGUGUUAACUGCCUCUGGACCUGGACCAAUUAGUUUUUGCCACCUAAGGCUUCCAAGCAUCCCUGUGCGGGCCUGGCUGUCAUUCAUUCCUAAGGGAUACAACCCACUGGCUACAGUAUGAUUGAAGAUCUGGGGUGCUCCUUUUAUUUACCAGGGAAUUUCUGUAGCUGAGGGAGGGCCUGACCCAGUGAGGGAGAAGAUGGCUGUCCCUGCCAGGCCCCUGAGAGACCUGGGAACUGGUGGAUCUGAACAUUCCUCUACAUUGUUUGCAAAAUGAAGCCAAAGUCAUCCAGGUGGUUUCCAAGUCAAUUGGAGCAUUACCUGUAAGAGAUGCUGGCAUUGACUGUGACCAACUGGCGGGAGUGGGGCACAGUCACCAAAGAGAAGAAAACUCCCAAGCUGGGGUGAACAGCUGGCCCAGCCUCCGUAAGGUAAGGUGCUUCUUGAUUUUUCUGGAGGGGUGAUAGGCCUUGGAAUGAAACACACAGAGCUCCCUUUUCUGAAAGUUAAGAGGUUUUUAUUCAGAGCAAGUUGGGCAGGUGGCCACAGUGUCCCAAGAGUUGUGCUAAUUCAGCCUUUAUGCUAAAUCCUUCAAAGAUCUGCUCUUUGAAAAAGUUCAGCCACGUCUGGAUUAGAAACUAGAAUAGGGAUGGCCAGAGUGUGUUUGCGUGAGUGUGUUUUUAAAGCCUAGGCAGAGAGGUGUGAGGCUUUGCUGUUGCAUUUGUGAAGAUCUGGAUGGGAGUGUGGAGGGUCACAGCAUCUAUCCAGGGCUCCUUUGUGCCUGGCACUGCCUGAGGCACGUGCCAUGUGUUUCGUUCUCUGAACAACCAUACUGAGGUGAGUUCUGGUGCUCCCAUGUUGCCUAGGAGGGAGGUGAGGCACAGAGAGGUUAAGUAUCUUGCCCAGAGUCUCCCAGUUGGUGACUGGGGAGCUCGGAUCUGGACUCUGGCAGUUUGGUCUCUUCAGGACCGGGCUGGACUGUGUACAGUAGGGAGUCAAUACGUGUUAGAUGCUGUUAAUAUGGUUACUUUAAAAAAAAGUUGGGGUGAAGUAUAAAUAUACAUAGCAUAAAAUUGACCAUUCAACCAUUUUAAAGGGUACAAUUGGGUGGCAUUAAGCAUUUUCACAUUGUUGUGCAACUGUCACCCACCAUCCAUCUUCAGAACGGUUUUCAUCUUGCAAAACUGAAACUCUGUCCCCGUGAAAAUUGUGGUUAUUUUUGUGGUUGUUGUUGUUACUGUUAUCUUCUGCCCUUCGGGAAAUCCUGGAACACCGAGCCCUUGGCUGUCUCAUUUAGGCUGGAGUCCUGCUGCCUUACUCCGGGAGGGGCACCGGUUCCUUCAGCUCGCACCACUGGUGCCAGCCAGAGCCUGGGGCUGGGCUUUGCCGGGGUACUUGGAGGUGCGUGGGACGCCCAGUGACUUCGGUUCUUCUGUUGCAGGUUUCCACGUUGCUGAGGCCGUGGAGGUUCCCGUAGCCGGUCAUGCGGUCAUGCGACCUCUCCCCCCGGGCUUGCUUCCCUGGGCAGGGGACGCCUUUCUGGCCUGGGCCAGCAGAGGGCUGCGGAGUGGGGAGAGCCAACGACGACCUCUGCCCAGCAGCUUUCCGCCAACGCUAUCCAGUGGGAGAUCCGGGAUGAGUGAAGAUUCGUUUUACUGUAACACAAGAGAAAUCCUGAUUCUCCUUGUGCUGACUUACUUGGGCACGAGAUUCCAGACACCUGGAACUGAGCCGUGCACCUCUGUGCUCUAAACAGUGGGGUUUGGCUCCAGCUUUUUUCUUUUUCUCUUUUUUCAGAUCACCAUUUAAGCUGCGUAUUCAGCUCAGAACCAGCCCCCCGAGGAUCUCUUCUUAGCCCCCCUGCUCACGGUGCUCUGUCUGUGGCCAGGCGACCUCACUCAGGAGUAGACAUCUCCUUGGCCUUCCUUCAUACUACCUUAUCCAUCCAGAUGUGCCUGAAACAUUCCAGAGCUCACUGGCUCUUCUAGAUGUGCCUUCCUGCUUGGCCUCCAGCUGCCUCUUGAGAUGUGAGAAGGACCUGUAAAACGGCCCCCUCCCCCACCCCCACNNNNNNNNNNNNNNNNNNNNNNNNNNNNNNNNNNNNNNNNNNNNNNNNNNNNNNNNNNNCCACCCCCUCCUUCCCCUUGAGACCCUGUACGGUGGAAAGGGCUACCUGACCUGGCCCAGAAUUUUUGAAUACUGGAGGCAGUCUCAUUGGCCUCCCUCAUUAGACUCCAGGAUUCAGUCCAGCCCGAGACCACUGUGGGCUCCUACCAGUCCAAAAGUCUAGGACCGCUUGCGGACCCAGGAAAGGAAUUUUCUAGUGUUCUACAAAGGCCAAUAGAGAGGGUGGGAGUGGGUGGGGUGAGGGCCGGUGGCGAGAGGGGACCAAUGUGCCUCAUUUAAUAGUUUAGUUGUGAUGACUAAUUUGCUUUUCUGAAUAAAGU